CAGCCGCCACGGUAAUACGUAGGGUGCGAGCGUUAAUCGGAAUUACUGGGCGUAAAGCGUGCGCAGGCGGUUAUAUAAGACAGAUGUGAAAUCCCCGGGCUCAACCUGGGACCUGCAUUUGUGACUGUAUAGCUAGAGUACGGUAGAGGGGGAUGGAAUUCCGCGUGUAGCAGUGAAAUGCGUAGAUAUGCGGAGGAACACCGAUGGCGAAGGCGAUCCCCUGGACCUGUACUGACGCUCAUGCACGAAAGCGUGGGGAGCAAACAGGAUUAGAUACCCGAGUAGUCCCUGUCUCUUAUAC
rnacentral:rRNA from 1 species